rnacentral:lncRNA from 1 species
AUCCCUAACCACCCCUAAGUUCACUUAACAACAACCAUCCAAAGAGAACAAUAUUUUCAUUAUAUAAGUUCACAUAAUACACCAUUAUGCAUCAUUCUAACAACCACAACACCCACUCAUAUAGAAACAUAAUAAUAAUAGAAAUUUCUAAUGAAAAAUGGAAGAAAACAUCACAACAUAACUAGAAUCAUCCAUAUCUAUUCUAUGUUUCACAAAUUCUAAUUUCUAAUCUCCUAAGAGUACUAACUAGAACCCACCUUGAAAUGAGAUGGAGAGAUUAUUG